rnacentral:misc_RNA from 1 species
GAUGAAGAACGCAGCGAAAUGCGAUAAGUAGUGUGAAUUGCAGAAUUCAGUGAAUCAUCGAAUCUUUGAACGCACAUUGCGCCCCUUGGUAUUCCAUGGGGCAUGCCUGUUCGAGCGUCAUUUGUACCUUCAAGCUCUGCUUGGUGUUGGGUGUUUGUCUCGCCUCUGCGCGCAGACUCGCCUCAAAACGAUUGGCAGCCGGCGUAUUGAUUUCGGAGCGCAGUACAUCUCGCGCUUUGACAACAAAACGACGACGUCUAAAAAGUACAUUUUUUACACUCUUGACCUCGGAUCAGGUAGGGAUACCCGCUGAACUUAAGCAUAUCAAUAAGCGGAGGA